rnacentral:lncRNA from 1 species
AAUCACCGCAAGUAGUGAUAUAUCAAUUAAUCAAGGCAAAAGUUACUCCAAGUUUCACUGUUUACCAGCAAUUUCAUGUAUUGCCACUUUCUUCCUCAACAGUAGUCAUUGGAGUUUCACGUUAUAAAAGGCCCUACUCUGAAGUAUUGAUUCUAUUUAGUGAUCUCAUUUUUUUCUUGAAUGUGGGUUAUAUUUAAGAAAACAUGGUAAGUUGGCAUACAUGGAUGUUGGAAAAGAACAGUGCGUUGUGGUCUAAAGACAAUCUCGCAUGUAAGGGGUUAUUGUACAGGUAAUGGUGUUUUUGAUGAUGUUGUAAAAGAAAUGAGAAGGUUGGUACAAAAGAAAAUCUCAUAAAAUGAGGGUGCAUGAUGUCCUCUGCCAGCCAGCUGAGGCUGGAAGGGGCUUGGGUGAUUAUUACUGAGCAGUUUGAGUAGAUUUGUUCUGGUUUGGCAUUUGAGGUUUUGGAAAUAAAGCAAGCCCUGAGGAAGGGGAUGCAAAGAGAUGAUGUAUGAAAGAGGAUUUCAGAAUGAUUGUGGAUUCCCCAAAGUCUGCUGCAAAUAAAUGCCGAUAUUAGUGACCAAAUGUACAUAUCCAUGAGCACAACUGUCAAGACUUCUUGGUACUGGGAACUAGGAUUGUGCUGGCAUUGCACACACUUUCUCUCAAGCAAAAAAAGGAUUGCAGCUGUGUCCACCAUUAUCAUGCAGAAAGAAGCAGUAGAGGACUAUGAUUUCAGAUUUGAGGGUUUGGAUUUGUGAGUUUAUGAGCACUUUCAGAUCCUGCUAAUUCCAGAGGAAGUAGGAAAUGCCUAGCACUCAACAGGAAGUUGAGGCCUUGUUCACGCUAAUAUCAGCUUUUAUGUUUUAACAUAACUUUUAUGCCUGUGCAAGCACACAGAUGAGAUUUUCAAACCUGAAAUUUUUUGACUGCAGAUGAAUUACUGUAAUUACAUCUCACUAAAGCAAGGACAAAAUACUCCUUUCUUAGCUAUGAAGAAAAAGGCUAUAAAGGGGAAAGUUUUUUUCCAUGCCAGAAAAUGAAUGCAUUCCCUGGACUCAGUCAAAUUCUGAAACAUCAUGUGUUGUCAGUAUUCAUGACUAGGAAAAAGACAAUAAACAGUGUAGAUACCCAGUCA